rnacentral:rRNA from 1 species
UACGUAGGGUCCGAGCGUUGUCCGGAUUUAUUGGGCGUAAAGAGCUCGUAGGCGGCUUGUCACGUCGGGUGUGAAAGCCCGGGGCUUAACCCCGGGUCUGCAUUCGAUACGGGCUAGCUAGAGUGUGGUAGGGGAGAUCGGAAUUCCUGGUGUAGCGGUGAAAUGCGCAGAUAUCAGGAGGAACACCGGUGGCGAAGGCGGAUCUCUGGGCCAUUACUGACGCUGAGGAGCGAAAGCGUGGGGAGCGAACAGG